GGGGCAUUAGCUCAGCUGGGAGAGCGCUUGCCUGGCAGGCAAGAGGUCAGCGGUUCGAGCCCGCUAUGCUCCA
rnacentral:tRNA from 1 species